UAGAGUGGAUAUUUGGGCUCUGGAUACAGGAGAAAAAGAAGCUUUUUAAAAGCUGCUAUGAUGCUGUCACUGUCUGCAAUGGAGAAGGAGUAAGAAGGAUCUUGUGUUCUGCUCCUGCAAACAAAUGCAACUUUUGCAGAACCCUCCACCUAUGUGAAUUUCCCUCUCUGUAUUUUUGGUGUGGGAUAUGUUGAAAGAAUGCAGGGAUCACAAAGCCAGCCCCUGCAGGAGUUAGAUGUCAGACACAAGACCAUCCUAGUGAAUAAGAAAAGAAUCCUGUGUCAUAAAGCAUACACACAAGACUUACACAUCAGUUCAGGUAUCGGAGAAGCUGAAAAAACAUCUUCAGAAGUGAAGUAUGCAGCAAAUGACUGCCCUGUAUGUCCUACCUGGCUUUCACUACAGUAACAACUUUGGACAGGAGCUGAUGCAGAACUGCCCUUCUCUCUCCACCUCACAGUUGAUGAAUUACCAGAACUAAUUGUUGCCUUGACAGGCCUUUGAUCUCUGGAAGAGCCAGUUUAUAAAUGAUGAGUUCCGUUACAUGCUACUAUUGAUAGAGCUGUUUGAAUGAGUUUUAAAAUCAAUAAGCUCUACACAACAGGGAGCCCUUAGUUUAUUUCCAUUUAUUGCAGGCGUUGUGAACUAUCCUUGAAAGUGCUUAUUGAAGGGUGUAAGUCAGGUAGUAAUACAGAAAUCAAGUUUGAUAAGAGAAGAGAGAGCUGAAAGAGUAAUACAAAAUAGGAAGCUUUGUGCUUUCAUUGGCUCUCCUCCCCAUCCCUCCAAACCAGGCCCUAAACUGAACUAAAGUUAUGGAUGCUGUCUCCAGAGAGAAAGUGUGGUUCAGUAUUUAAAAUGGAGAAUGGGAAGAGAAAGUUGGCUAGGUUCUGUGGACAGCUCUGCUACUGACCUGCCAAUGUGGCCUGGGGCAGCUCAGCCCCUUGAUGCGUGCAGAUGGUUUAUCUGCCUAUAGGAAUAACAACAACCAAAUUUGCAGCACAUCCUUUAUCUAAGUACGCAGAAGUGCUCCACAAACAUGAAUGGCCACUUUGUCUGUGGGACAAAUGGGUGGAAUUCCAUUGGUGUGAAUAGGGCUGAACAGUAUGGAAAACUUAGUCCUAGCCUCUUCUUUCCGGAAUGUGAAAUCCUGGGGAAGCUUUCAAGGGGAAGGGAAGAAAUUUUCCUUCUAGGCCAGAGGUGGCCACCCUGUAGCGCAAGUGGUACAAGUGGCGCACGGAGCCUCUCUGCAUGGUCCAUGACCUGAUCAUGGAGGGGACAGGAAGCAGAAGGCAGAGCAGGAGAUCAAUAGAGGAGCGCGAUUGGAGUGGCACUUGGAGCCGAUGUAAGGCUAAUUUGUGACUCACCUGGGGAAAAAGGUUGGCCCCAACUGCUCUAGGCCAUAAAGCAGUGUCAGUGUCAUUCUGCAGCCACAGUUGUACUUCUUAGACAGCUGUAUUUAUGAUGGCCAUAAUACACUGUCUACUGGAAGGAGGACAAGAAGACCUCCUAGUGCUGUCUACACUAACUGUCCAUAAGAAUUGACAGUCGGGCAGCAGGUUGCUAAUUCUACUGUAACAUGCUCCUUUAUGGAUGUUUCCAGGUAAUGAUGAUUAGGGUUAGGUGUCUGUCUUGGAGUAAUAGAUACCUAUUGCUCCCGCUACCCCUUGUUUGAAAAUAUACCUAUACCCUCUAACUAAAAUAUGAUACUUCAAAAAUAAAGGAUCAGUUGUUCAGGGUGGUAAAAACCAGCAACAGAAGCAGAAGUUUUAGAUAGAUUCUGGUAAUGUGGAAGAGAGAGUCAGCAUGUCUGAAUGAGGAGGAAACUUAGCAUGCCCAAGAAGAGGAAAAAUAAUUUGAAUUCCACGGAAAACUCCUUGCUUAAAUUCCUUGUAUUCCUGAAACACCUCUCACUCCCUGGAUAAAAUUUCCCAUUGAUAAGACUCCUCCCCUUUCUCUCUCCCCCUGUUCCCAGUAACAGCUGGCAAAUGAGCUGGUAUAGAACUUUAUUAUGACCCAGAAAGCACAAGACCAAGCCAGCUGAGACUCUUUGCCUUGGGCACUGAGAAGCAAAAGGGCAUUUUAGCAAAUUAGUGAAAUGACACACAUUUUGGGUUGACAAGUUCUAGACCUGAUCC